GAAAUGCGAUAAGUAGUGUGAAUUGCAGAAUUUAGCGAAUCAUCGAAUCUUUGAACGCACAUUGCGCCCCUUGGUAUUCCAUGGGGCAUGCCUGUUCGAGCGUCAUUUCAACCCUCAAGCACUGCUUGGUGUUGGGCGUUUGUCCCGCCUACGCGCGUGGACUCGCCUCAAAGUCAUUGGCAGCUGUUCCCCUUCGGCUCGUAUGCGCAGCACAGUCGGCGCCCGGAGCUCUGGUGGGAUGGCGUCCAGCAAGCUAUAUUUUCAGGCUUGACCUCGGAUCAGGUAGGGAUACCCGCUGAACUUAAGC
rnacentral:misc_RNA from 1 species